AUUGAACGCUGGCGGCAUGCCUUACACAUGCAAGUCGAACGGCAGCACGGGGCAACCUGGUGGCGAGUGGCGAACGGGUGAGUAAUGCAUCGGAACGUACCUUUCAGUGGGGGAUAACGUAGCGAAAGUUACGCUAAUACCGCAUAUUCUGUGAGCAGGAAAGCAGGGGAUCGCAAGACCUUGCGCUGAUUGAGCGGCCGAUGUCAGAUUAGCUAGUUGGUGAGGUAAAGGCUCACCAAGGCGACGAUCUGUAGCGGGUCUGAGAGGAUGAUCCGCCACACUGGAACUGAGACACGGUCCAGACUCCUACGGGAGGCAGCAGUGGGGAAUUUUGGACAAUGGGGGCAACCCUGAUCCAGCCAUGCCGCGUGAGUGAAGAAGGCCUUCGGGUUGUAAAGCUCUUUCGGCCGGGAUGAAAUCGCACGGGCUAAUACCCUGUGUGGAUGACAGUACCGGAAUAAGAAGCACCGGCUAACUACGUGCCAGCAGCCGCCGUAAAAC
rnacentral:rRNA from 1 species